ensembl:miRNA
UGGAAGCCGCACAAGUCACUUCCCUUCCCGUCCUGAGGGAGCGCUGGGUUCCAUGCCCAGCCCGCUGCAGAGGCGGCUGGGAACUCUAUGUCCUGGGUGGCCACAUGCCCA